AUUGAACGCUGGCGGAAUGCUUUACACAUGCAAGUCGAACGGCAGCACGGACUUCGGUCUGGUGGCGAGUGGCGAACGGGUGAGUAAUGUAUCGGAACGUGCCCAGUCGUGGGGGAUAACGUAGUGAAAAUUACGCUAAUACCGCAUACGAUCUAUGGAUGAAAGCGGGGGAUCGCAAGACCUCGCGCGAUUGGAGCGGCCGAUAUCAGAUUAGGUAGUUGGUGGGGUAAAGGCCCACCAAGCCAACGAUCUGUAGCUGGCCUGAGACGACGACCAGCCACACUGGAACUGAGACACGGUCCAGACUCCUACGGGAGGCAGCAGUGGGGAAUUUUGGACAAUGGGCGAAAGCCUGAUCCAGCCACUCCGCGUGCAGGAUGAAGGCCCUCGGGUUGUAAACUGCUUUUGUACAGAACGAAAAGGUUUCUACUAAUACUAGGAGCUCAUGACGGUACUGUAAGAAUAAGCACCGGCUAACUACGUGCCAGCAGCCGCAGUAA
rnacentral:rRNA from 1 species